UGUUUUCACGACGCAGACGGGAAGCCCAGAUGAAUCCCUGAACGCCUGUGUGAUAGAGCGCAAGGCAACAGGAAGCUGUUAAUAAGUGGUUUAGUAUGGUGUUGUUUUCCUGUCGUAACACAUGAGAAGGAAUUCAUAUAGUGUUUAUGUGUGUGUGUGUGUGUGUGUGUGUGUGUGUGUGUGUGUGUGUGUGUGUGUGUGUGUGUCUGAGAAAGAGAGAGAGAGAAAAAGAAGAUCACUUUAUAUACAAAAAAGCAGGUACUGCAAAGCUGGAAGAGCAUCAACACGCUAUACAACAGCAGUCAGGAGUAACUGUGAGGGGAAAAGAGGAGAGGAGGGGGGGAGGGGGAGA